rnacentral:rRNA from 1 species
AGUUCGAUUCUGGCUCAGAUUGAACGCUGGCGGGAUGCUUUACACAUGCAAGUCGAACGGCAGCACGGACUUCGGUCUGGUGGCGAGUGGCGAACGGGUGAGUAAUGUAUCGGAACGUGCCUAGUAGCGGGGAUAACUACGCGAAAGCGUAGCUAAUACCGCAUACGCCCUUCGGGGGAAAGCGGGGGACCUUUCGGGCCUCGCACUAUUAGAGCGGCCGAUAUCGGAUUAGCCAGUUGGUGGGUAACGGCUCACUGGCAGCGACGAUCCGUAGCUGGUUUGAGAGGACGACCAGCCACACUGGGACUGAGACACGGCCUGUACCCUACGGGAGGCAGCAGUGGGGAAUUUUUGGACAAUGGGGGAAACCCCGAUCCAGCCAUCCCGCGUGUGCGAUGAAGGCCUUCGGGUUGUAAAGCACUUUUGGCAGGAAAGAAACGGCACGGGAUAAUACCCCGUGCAACUGACGGUACCUGCAGAAUAAGCACCGGCUAACUACGUGCCAGCAGCCGCGGUAAUACGUAGGGUGCAAGCGUUAAUCGGAAUUACUGGGCGUAAAAGCGUGCGCAGGCGGUUCGGAAAGAAAGAUGUGAAAUCCCAGAGCUUAACUUUGGAACUGCAUUUUUAACUACCGAGCUAGAGUGUGUCAGAGUGGGUGGAAUUCCCGCGUAGCAGUGAAAUGCGUAGAUAUGCGGAGGAACACCGAUGGCGAAGGCAGGUUUUCCUGGGAUAACACUGACGCUCAUGCACGAAAGUGUGGGGAGCAAACAGGAUUAGAUACCUUAGUCCACGCCCUAAACGAUGUCAACUAGCUGUUGGGGCCUUCGGGCCUUGGUAGCGCAGCUAACGCGUGAAGUUGAUCGCCUGGGGAGUACGGUCGCAAGAUUAAAACUCAAAGGAAUUGACGGGGACCCGCACAAGCGGUGGAUGAUGUGGAUUAAUUCGAUGCAACGCGAAAAACCUUACCUACCUUGACAUGUCUGGAAUCCCGAAGAGAUUUAUGCUCGCAAGAGAACCGGAACACAGGUGCUGCAUGGUUGUCGUCAGCUCGUGUCGUGAGAUGCUGGGUUAAGUCCCGCAACGAGCGCAACCCUUGUCAUUAGUUGCUACGAAAGGGCACUCUAAUGAGACUGCCGGUGACAAACCGGAGGAAGGUGGGGAUGACGUCAAGUCCUCAUGGCCCUUAUGGGUAGGGCUUCACACGUCAUACAAUGGUCGGGACAGAGGGUCGCCAACCCGCGAGGGGGAGCCAAUCCCAGAAACCCGAUCGUAGUCCGGAUCGCAGUCUGCAACUCGACUGCGUGGAGUCGGAAUCGCUAGUAAUCGCGGAUCAGCAUGUCGCGGUGAAUACGUUCCCGGGUCUUGGUGGCCACACACCGUCCGUCACACCAUGGGAGUGGGUUCACCAGAAGUAGUUAGCUUCCAACCGUAAGGAGGGCGAUUACCACGGUAGGAUUCAUGACUGGGGUGAAGUCGUAACAAGGUAA